rnacentral:lncRNA from 1 species
CAUCUCGGGCCUCCUCACGGCGGCGACCUGAGCUAUAGCGACUCUAUCCGUCUACGUGUCUGAGCACUGCAAAUGCAUUAGGCUUGCAUUUGUGGGAGAAUAACGCAAGGAACGAAAGGUCAGGUGCGUGUAGGUCGCUGGGCCAAAGCCGCCUGAGUAGCUGUGGCUUGGUAUGGAUGAUAAAGCAACUGAAUCAAUUUGCCACCGGUGUUGAGGCGAGGGCGACCUGACCGCGAAAUACACGGCCCGAGGGCACGCCCCGUAUCAACACCCCUCGCGACCUCCAAACACGUGCACUGAACCGCGAAGCCCUCCCCCAAGCCUAUCGCGGCUGCUAUUCCCAUGUCCUCCUCCCCAACCAUUCUGCAUACAGGCUCUGGCGUGAGUCCCUGCCCGCGUCAUUUGACACCCGUCGACCACGACUGAGGUGCAACGCAUGUCGCUUACAAAUCCAACAUCCCGCCCGACACGAGAGGGGCAGAAACGGCGGGGCAGACGGCCAGCCUCUUGAACAUGAGCAUAGCAGUGCAAUAUCGCACAUUGGGUCCCCGCCUGCUUCACCUGGCCACCUUUGCUGAUUUGUCUGACAUCCCUGUCUACACACUUUUAUCCGCCCACGCUUGAGACGUCCUCCUCAGCGCGCAGGCUUCACGGUACCAACCGUGCGGUAUCAUCGCUACAUGAUGAGUGCACUGCCCCAACCAUUGAAGCAUCACAAGGUGCUUGCCUGCCGCCGCCGCCGCUGAUACGUACACGAUUGCUGCCACACAACCAACACAUCACACCCAACAAUCACAACAACAAAACAACUGAGACCCGCCGCCGCGCAACGCACACUGCUGUACACGCCCCAGGGCCGAGAACACAACGCAACACAAGCACCUGACAUGCCUCAUCCAGGCAUGCGUCACUCAAUCGCCCACCGAGCCGACCUCGCACACGCCGUUCGUGAGCCCCUGCGGCUGACAUGCCCGGCCCUGCCCCCUUGGCACCGCAGCCCUGCCGCCUUGGCACCGCCGCCCAUUGCCCCACCCCCAUGCUGCGUGCCAUGUAAGAAUAAAGCCAGGUCCCCAUCAAGCCGCAGCAUAUAUCCCCGCCAAGCCACCACACUCCUCUUGCCGCACGCUACCAACCACCACCAGCACAGGACCGGCACCUGCCUGUCCCCCUGUUUAGUUUGGGCUGAUAUUUACAACCCCCCACCCUCCCCUCCCCACCUUCCCCAUUGCCAACCUCGCCCACCGCGCCGACAUACACGCCGGCACCUCGCUCGUGCCUCUCGAGGCCUCCCAUCUUCCGUAGCUAGAGAUCCCCAUCCACUAGCAUCCACUUGGGCUCCAGCCCACUCCUGAUGCACACGCCAGCAUUAUCCAGGUCUGCAUGGUUUGCAUGUCUGCCUACCGUGCACGCACACCUGCCUAGCUACGCCGACCUACUACCGUCCUCCUCGACCCGACCCGCCGCCGCCGCCGCCUCCCUCUGGCCGCCGUGCCGGCCGCACCAGCAGCUGCUGUUGUGGGUUGCCGCCAGAGCCGCCGCCGCCCUUGCUGGUAGUGGUGGUGGUUGCGGGCUGCUGCGGCGCGGCCGUAAUGACAGCCGCAGCGCCGCCCACGGCACCCACUGCCACUGUUUCCACCGCCACCGCCGGCUGCUGCAGCCGGCGCAGCAGGUAGGCCUCCUGCUCCUCCGGGCUCUUCAGGCCCGCCCACUCCCAGUACGGCAGCACAAGAACGCCGCCGCCCUCCCCGAACGCCCGCCGCAGCUGCCGAAUGCGCAUGGCCGUACCACCGUCAACAGCGGUGGGGUCGCGCUUUAGAUUGGACAGAAAGCGUGCCGGUCCGAGGAGCUCCACCGCCGCCUGCUGCCCGUCACUCAGCCGCACCACCGCAUCCACUGGCGCCAACGCGCCUUGCGCGACCACGCCCGUUUGUACGGACACGACGGCAAGGCCUCCUGCUGCCUCACGCCCCUGGUGCUGCUCAAGCCGCCGCAGCGCUGCGACGACCUGCUUUUGGAUGUCAGAUGUGGGCUUGGCGUUUUCCCUCUCAGCAGUCACCGCCGCUGCCAUCGCCGCCUGCAGGCCGGGGCUGCUCCCCAGGGCCGCCGCAACCUCGCCGCCUAGCUCUUGCUGCGCCUGCCACAGCUGAUUGAGAUUCUCAGUUGUAAAACCCUCCCAACGGCUUACUGCUUCACGGGCUAGCUGAAUGGAUAGCUGCUGCAUGUCGGGAGAAUACGUGCCUCCAAUCACCGCCAUGGCCCACAGGCUGUUUGAUAUGUUUUGGUUGUUUACCGCCUGCCUGUCGCGCUGCAGCAGCUCGCCCAGCCGGCCGCACACCGCCGCCUCCAAGCCAGCGUGCCGCAGCUGCAGCACCGCCAGCGCCCAGAGCGUGUUUGCACAGUUCUGACCACCGGCACUACUGGCGCGCAUGGCUGCUGCUGCUGCACCCGCAUCCAGCAGCUCCGGCGGCGGCUGGUGGCGCAUCAACGCAAGCGCGUACAGCAGGUUGGCCCAGGCCUGAGGCGUCGCACGGGCCAUGACGCCCGGCCGCAUUGCUGCGACCACCGCUGCCGAAGCCCACUGCCGCUGCUCUGCCGGCGCCUCCGGGCCCACCCCAAAUCCGAUCUUGGCCAGGGCCCACGCUGAGUUGCUGAGGUCCUGAGCCACGUACCCGGCAAAUCCCCGACGCACGUCCUCUGCGGCCACUGCCACCACCAGCUCUGCCUGCUCGCCGCCCAGCUGCAGCCCCUCCAGCGCCAGCAGGAUGUUGGACAGAUGCUGCGGCUUGAACGCUUCAGCAUCCUUCGGUGCUCGGAGCUGCCGCAGCGCCUCCCCGCACAGCGCCUCAACUGCUGAUCGGUACUCUGGUCCCAUGCAACCCAAAGCCGCAAACGCCCAGAGGGUAUUGGACAGAUGUUGCGUCUCCAUGCUGAGACUGAGCGCCGCUGCCGCCUCUGCCAGCGGCAGCAGGAGUUCCGGUUCCGGGUAACCCAGCUUGGCGCACGCCCAGAGAAUGUUGGACACGUCCUGUGCUGUGAAGCCGUGACCAACCGCCACUCCCAACCGGGAGGCCACAGCUGCCGCCAAGGUCUGCAAGUGCGGAGAUGAGGUGGGGUCCCAGCCUGAGCCCCGCUGCUCCUGGUCUUGCUUGAUCUUGCCGAGUGCGUACAUGACGUUUGUAAGACUUUGAGGUUUUGCAGUUCCAAGAACCUCUGAAUCCAACAGCCGCUCCAGCAGCGCUGCUAUGAGCUGAGCCUCCAUGGCCGAGCCGCCGCUGAUCCCUGCUUUCCCCAGCGCCCACAGCACGAUGCUGCAAUCAACCGCCUUGCGGAUGCGCGGCACGAGCGGCAGGUAGGCCGGCGCAAGCAUGCCGAUAAUGCUGCUGCGUGCUACAGCCGUUUGGCUUGCUCCAGCGCGCGACUCCAGCUGCGUUCAAAACAGUUAUGAGGGACAUACAUGGGGUCAAGUGCUAUAUGCAUGUGUUUGUGCGUGUGCGUGAACAGGUGCGCAUGCAAGUCCUGUGUGGCCAUCUGCGUCGUGAGAACCGGAAGUCCGGGCCGAGAAUGACAACAAUUGGACUCGCCCUCAAUUCUGCACUUUAUUUCUCUGCCCAUUCCCACCUGCACGUUUUAGUCCUCCCUCUCACCUUGCCGCACAGGUUGAACGCCGCACACAUGGUAAUGAAGUCUUUUCGGCCCUCCCACACUGAUAGCCGCUGGCUGAUGAUAGCUUGCAGGUCCUCCAGAGUCCGACACACGGUCAUGUCAUCCGCGGGGUCACGCCCGCUGCCCCUGCUUCUGCCGCUGGCGCGGCUGCCAUCGCCUGCCCUGCCUCCGCCGCUUCCCCUACCCGCCGCCGCCUGCACUAUUGGCCGCCCGAGGCGGGAGCUACUGCUGCCGCAGAGCACUACCGCCGUCGAGACGCGCAGUGGGGAUGAGCUGCUACUGUUGAGUGCUGGGACAGAAGUAGCGGCGGCAGCGCGCGGUGAGCUGGGGCCGGUGUCGGCAGCGGUCCGAUGCAUGCCAUAAACGAACAGUCUUCUAAACGCGCACGCCGGUGGCGGUGCCUGGAGACGGGCUGAUAACGAAUGGCUACAGCCAUGUACGCUGUGCCUGUGCGCACCAGCGGGAGAGCCCGCGACGACGCGCAGGGCGAGCAUCUCGGGCCUCCUCACGGCGGCGACCUGAGCUAUAGCGACUCUAUCCGUCUACGUGUCUGAGCACUGCAAAUGCAUUAGGCUUGCAUUUGUGGGAGAAUAACGCAAGGAACGAAAGGUCAGGUGCGUGUAGGUCGCUGGGCCAAAGCCGCCUGAGUAGCUGUGGCUUGGUAUGGAUGAUAAAGCAACUGAAUCAAUUUGCCACCGGUGUUGAGGCGAGGGCGAC